rnacentral:lncRNA from 1 species
AUCUUUCUCUGGCGGCACUAACUGUGGAUACCGAUCUAGAUCAUAUAUGUUUAUUCUAGUCCUAUCUAUGGCAAUAUUCUUUCUGUGAGGUGUCCCAUGGAGAACCGAAAUUCCACAGGACCCACAUUAGAGGAAAGCUUGGAAAAUGCAGGAGAACCCUGCCACGUUGUCCAGGAGCACUACUCUGAAGUAGCUGUGAGCUCAUCCAGAGCAAUCCUUGAAGGGUCUGCUACCAAGCAAGAAUGCCCAAAGAUGCAACAAGAUGAUGAGACCACAUUGUUGGAAACAGAUACGGCGGCACUUCCUGUGAUGUCGGCAUGGGACGUUGAAGAAAUCCUUUCUCUCUACUGUGAACAGAAAUCUCCAUCAGCAAGUUUAGGAGGGGUUGAAAAUGGCCAGGAAACUCUCCCAGGAGAAGAAAAAGGUGAGCUUGCUAUUUAUGGAGCAAGAUGCCAAGUUCCUGGUGAACUCACCAUUCAGAGCAUUACUGAGAGAGUUAACAAAUGA